rnacentral:rRNA from 1 species
UACGUAGGGGGCAAGCGUUAUCCGGAUUUACUGGGUGUAAAGGGAGCGUAGACGGUAUGGCAAGUCUGAAGUGAAAGCCCCGGGCUCAACCUGGGAAUUGCUUUGGAAACUGUUAAACUAGAGUGCUGGAGAGGCAGGCGGAAUUCCUAGUGUAGCGGUGAAAUGCGUAGAUAUUAGGAGGAACACCAGUGGCGAAGGCGGCCUGCUGGACAGUAACUGACGUUGAGGCUCGAAAGCGUGGGGAGCAAACAGG